AUUGAACGCUGGCGGCAUGCCUUACACAUGCAAGUCGAACGAGGGUAGCAAUACCUUAGUGGCGAACGGGUGAGUAAUAUAUCGGAACGUACCCUAGAGUGGGGGACAACCAGUCGAAAGACUGGCUAAUACCGCAUACGAUCUACGGAUGAAAGUGGGGGACCGCAAGGCAUCACGCUCCUCGAGCGGCCGAUAUCUGAUUAGCUAGUUGGUAGGGUAAAAGCCUACCAAGGCAUCGAUCAGUAGCGGGUCUGAGAGGACGAUCAGCCACACUGGGACUGAGACACGGCCCAGACUCCUACGGGAGGCAGCAGUGGGGAAUUUUGGACAAUGGGGGAAACCCUGAUCCAGCAAUGCCGCGUGAGUGAAGAAGGCCUUCGGGUUGUAAAGCUCUUUUGUCAGGGAAGAAAAGGCUAUGGCUAAUAUCCAUGGCUGAUGACGGUACCUGAAGAAUAAGCACCGGCUAACUACGUGCCAGCCGCCGCUGUAA
rnacentral:rRNA from 1 species